rnacentral:piRNA from 1 species
UAAAACAGAUCUUCAUUUUGCCUUUGCUUU